rnacentral:tRNA from 1 species
GCUAGAUUAGCAAAAGAAGUGCGUUCGGUUUAAGCCCGAAAGAUGAAACCUCUAGUU